UUGGCCCCACUGUGCACCACACACUCCUUUCCCAGCCCAGGGGCACGCGAACAAAAUGAGGCUCAAGCUGACCAGGCCGAGCCGGAGGAACGCUGGGGCUUGGCAGCAGAAGGGAUGGGACCAGAGAGAAGGGUGUGGAGGAGACCCCAGUGAGGGCCAGGACAUUUCAGGUAAAGAGAGGUCAUAUCUCCGUACCUCACUUCCUGACACAAACAAGUUUUCACUGUUGUCAGCAACAAAGCCCUAAUAUAGCUGCGGAAGAGAAAAACUGCAUUGCAUUUUGCCUCCUGCAAGCAUCAUCAACAGUUACUGGAGGAACGUAAUUCCAGAAAGCUUGAAAGCCGUGGUGAUGGUAAUUAUGUAUCAAAUGCCUGGUUCUAUUUCUGUUAUUAUUGUUUUGUCAUUUCUGUUUUCCCAGCGAUCUGACUGAACUCGCAGAGGGACAAAUCCAGUUUUUCUUUUUGACUUUUGUCAAACUAAAUCAGGCCUGAUAGAAAACUCAUUGCUCUCCGGGGAAACAAAGUAGGAGCCACGAAAUGUCAUUUUAACAGAGCGUGGGUUUGGUGACUGUAGGAAAGGAUUUGAGGACGCUCCUUCUGUUCGGCUUCCUAUGUCAUGAGCACAGGCUCCACGCACGCACAGACACCACGGCUCCCGGAUGCUGUGGCUCCCCGAUCGGGGCUCCUGCAGCGCCAGAAGCCCCUCCGGGAUGCUUCGAGGGGCUCCCGGUGGGUGGAGGUACGGACGCCGCUGCGGCCGCCGCCGCCAGUCCUGCUGCUGUUGUUGCUGCUGCAGUCACGUGGGAGCCCCUUUAAGUUUCCAUAGAGAGGCCUCUCUGGUGUCACAUGAUGGACAUGAUAUAAUGAAACAACAUUGUGGAGAGGAAAGCAUUAGGGGAGCCCACGGCUACAAAAACAAGUGAGUGAGAAGAGGUGGGAGGAAGAGAAACUACGCCACCUCCCCUGCAGCCGAGUGCACGCAGCAGCCUGGCGUGACAAGUGGGCGACGCCGGGGGGCAGGGAGCCGGGGUCCUUGGCCCUGGCCGGGGACCCCACCGCCCACCGCGCGGAGGACAACUUUUAGCCGGCAGCCCAGACCAGCGCGGCACCUGUCUCCGGAGUCUCCACCGCUCCUCCCGAUUCAUCCCAGGGAAAUUCUCAAGAAUACGCUCUACAAAUCUACGUGCGCAUCAUUUUCACCUCGCGUCGCGCCCGGGAGGAAGGAACGAGGCAAGGAGCUAAAGCAGCGUGCGUUCAGCCCUGGGGAGGAAAAUGGAAGAAACGGAGAUACUUUUAGUGAAGCAGAAUAAACCACUGAACAGGAAAAAUGAGGAAGCUGUGAGUACCAGUGGAAGGAACGAGCCAGGAAGAGGGACUGGAACCAUCUCAGAAGCCAUGCCCCUCAGGCUGGAACUUGCCCUGUCUCCUCGCAGAUGAGACAGACGUUUAAGUACGAGAAAGCUAAUGGCGCAGAUUCUGCUGACUGUGUGGCUCUCGUCUUAAUGCGUUUUCCAACCUUGAACCUGAGAAUGCCAGA
rnacentral:lncRNA from 1 species